rnacentral:misc_RNA from 1 species
GAUGAGAACGUAGUGAAAUGCGAUACUUGGUGUGAAUUGCAGAAUCCCGUGAACCAUCGAGUCUUUGAACGCAAGUUGCGCCCGAAGCCAUUAGGCCGAGGGCACGCCUGCCUGGGUGUCACACACCGUUACCCUCGCGCCAACGUCCAUCGUUGGCCGCGGCGCGGGGCGUGCGCUGACCUCCCGCGAGCGGGGUCUCGUGGUUGGUUGAAAAUCGAGUUCGCGGUCGAGGGUGCCGUGAUGAAAUGGUGGAUGGGCGACGCCCGAGGCCAAUCACGCGCGACUCUGUCCGGCUCGGACUCCUGGACCCCUUCGGCGUCUCCGGACGCUCUUUGGCGAGACCUCAGGUCAGGCGGGGCUACCCGCUGAGUUUAAGCAUAUCAAUAAGUGGAGGA